GCCGGUGGGCUCGGCCUUCUUAUAUAAGUAUAACCCGUCUUUAUCUUCUUACUGAGGAUGGUCAUUUGAGCUAGCAUAUAUUUCAAACUUAUACUUUUGUAAUCACUCCGAUAAAAUAAUAUAAAAUUUUUGUAACUUGUAAAAUUUGGUAAUAAGAUUUCCGCUGCAAAAAUAUUGGUGUGUGUGAUUUGUGUUACUUAAUCUCGCGGUUCUGGUUGUAAGUGGUUUAUCCGGUGUCCUUGGGGCAAUCGGACGGAUCCUGUUAAGUUAUCUGGUGCACAUGCACGGCCGUCUGAGGUCUUUGAGACAAGGACAGGUGCAUGUGGGCCCGAUAACUUGGAGGUUCUGCCACAGCUGGUAUCGGAGCUGGAUUAAGUAUGUACGAUCACAUACGUAUUUUCAAAACAAAAGUUUUGGUUUUAGAACACCUAUCUUCAACUAAACACAUUGUUUGGUUUUGAAAAUCAGAUUUGAAAAACUAUAAUGCUAGCGACAUCCUCUCUUAAGCCCUAAAUUAAGGACUAUCAGGUGGCUUAGUUGAAAACCACAACCGGGUGGGUAUUGCAUACAUGUGUAUUGUUAUUUUUAAGGCCAUUCAGUUUUGAAUGGAUCGAUGCUCAGGUAAGGUGAGAUGUGAGAGCAUGACCGAACAAACGUCGGUCUAGGGAAGAGCAUAAAAAGCGCUUGAUUAUAUACAUGUUCCACAUAUGUAUAUAUGAAGGCUGCGAUGUGGAGUAUUUACUUUUCUGGGAAUUCUGUACCCCAUGGAUGUGUAUGGGUAUACAGACAUGGGAAUACUGAGAAAUGUAAUGUACUUGUAACGACGCACCUACGCUCAGGUAAGAAGGUGAGUUACCAUAAUGAGUUGCCCUAUGGUUAAAGUGUGGCAACAGCGCCUAUGCGUGGCUCGGCGCUUAAUGAUGAGCUGGCCUCCAUAUAGCAAUAUAUGGAGUAUAAACUGUGAUAAACUGUCAUGUGUGAAUUGCAUCAUGGGGAAUUGGGCUGUGAUGAAUUUUCUGCAGGUAUACUAACCUCGAAAACGUAUGUGUAGCUGACGACUAGCAAAAUACCGUGAGAGUCGUAAAUAUGCCACCGAGAUAGAACGCUAAUGCCACAUUAUGUUGGCAAAACUCGUGAGGACGUGUAGGACGAGCAUGCAUCCUGAUUGUUGCAUCAUGUUUGUCACCUAUACACCCAAGAUGCUUCUCUCAUCCUUAUUCCAGUAACCAGUGAUUGUAGAUAAUGUGGUGUAAUGUUGUAUUAUGAACUUCGAUAAAAUAGUUGUUCUCCGUUCCUUAGGUAUUAUGUUUAGAUGCUAUAUGUGUUUGCCCUUGUGCUUGAUGUGUCGAUAGAAGGUUAGUGACUUGUUUUGCCUAAACCCAAAAUUAGGCCAUGUUCUUAUUAGGUAAACUGAGACCCAAAUUUGAAUUUACCAUUAUCCCUCUACGACUAAACUCAUGUAAAUGAAUGUUUAGAUAAUUUCUUUGUUGGACAUAAAAUGUACCCAACCUUAAAUCAAGGAUCUCAAACCAUGUCUCCUUCUAGAACCAUUUCCUUGUUCAGUUGAUGCAAGUUGAGGUCUCUAUGGUAUUUGGCCUCUCCUUGUGGAUUACCAUGUUACUUUAUCGACCCAACCUAGGAAAGACAUGUCCAACCAUUUUUCUGGAAUUUGAUGUCUUUGGUUUCCCCCAUAUCUAUCGAAGGCAUUCCAACUUAAUCUUAAUAUUGUUUUCCCCUGUAUCUAGUCAGAUACUGAUCCUUGACCUUGUGAUCUCUACGAUGGGCAUAGAAAUAUGCUUGGGGCUGAAGCAACAGUCUCCCGUCGUACUCCUUUCAUCAAAUUUAGGUUAUGGCCAUGCCUUGUUCAUUUCAUCGGGCCAUGAUCUAUUUGGCUCUCUACUUGUAACCAUUCUUACAAGUGGAGUCUAUUUUUGUAUAUUGCCAUCCUUGCUCAGUCUAUUUGUGUCGCGCGAGAUUUCUUAUUGGUUACGUCUGGUAAUGGCGUUAUGACUAAAACCAAUGGUGCCGUGACGAAACCGAGGGCCUCCUAUGGAUGCACACACAUGGUUGCGCUACUUGGCAUCCGCUGGUAUCACCGUUAGUAGUCAUAAUCCAUUAUUAGACUAUAUCGAUAUGUUAUCUUUACGUAGAUUAUUCUUACCCUGCGAGAUUCAUUAUUAGUGCCAGUUCGAUAAUGGCGUCUCGAUUAAUGACUUAUGAUACCCCGGCGAAACUAAGAGCCUCCUGUGAAUGUGCACACAGGAUUCUGCUGCUUGGCGCAUGCUGGUAUCGGAGCCUCUAGUCAUGAUCCAUUGUGGAACUACACCGAUGUGUGGUCUUCCGUGGACUCCUUCUUUGAAACAGUUUCUAUGUUGUUUCUCAAGUUAUCAAGCAACAUCUAUCAUCUUUGCCGGAUCAAAUGGACAUACCACUUUCAUGUGUGGUCUUAUUUCUUUUGAUCUUGGUAGUGACUACUCAUACAAGUUCCCUUUACAUCCUUUGUGUAAAGAUGAAGCCUUAGAGCGUUUAGUGUCGAGAGACAGCUGAUUAGCUCCCAAAAUGGAGAUUGGCUUUUUCCCCUGCUGUGGAGAUGCAGGAGUUUGUUCAUUCACUCUCUUAUUCAAUCCAUUUAUUCCCAAACCAAGUCAGUGGAUAAUUCAUCUCGCAUGAAGAAACAGAUGAACAACCUGACCAAAUGAAUUUCCACCCAAGUGCAUGAUCUCCUGUUAGCCAAAGUAAACUCUCGAUCGUUGGCUUACCGAUGGUACUGAGAGGACCGACUCAAUGUCAAAAGUAGUUCAACAAGUUGGUUUUUACUAACUUGUAACUGCAUUGUGAAUAAAGUUUGAGUUUAGAGAUUGUUUUAUCGAGUUAUCUAAACUCACUUUAGUUCAACCCAUCCUAAGAAAGUACUUACGAAAAUCGAGAUUAGGUCAACUAAUAACCACCUAGCCAUUGCUCUAGUCAUGUCUCGAUCGCCUCACGUGUGCUUUUCCAGCAUGUGUGACCAUAUCAAGCCAUGAUUAGUGCUCGAUAAAAUGGAUUUGUUACAAAAACAACAUUUACAGAUCCCUCCGUUGGUGAUGUUCUCGAAUCUAUAUCACCUUUCAGGGACUUGGAUUUUCUGGCUAGCCACGGGUCAACUGUGAUGUUAUUCGACAUUCACACCCAUCUCGUGUGCUAUGAACUUACCGUGACCACUUGUUGGUAAACCUCUUUCUGUAUGUUUUACCCAAGAGGUUGCAUCUGAUUCUGUUUUGGUAAAAUCGCGUAAUUGCCGCUCGCUCAAUAGACUCAGAUAGUGCAAUGUCAUCAGAAAAAGCAAACUGCACACAUGGAACCUUAUGUGUUCCUCUGGCAGACAUUGUCUCUAUUGUUGGACAUCUCUAAAUUAGCCUAAGGCGAUACAUGUUAUGUCCACUAGAGAAACAACAUCCUGAGACACUCGCCUUUAUUUGGAAAUGUCUCAUGAUUAUCGCUGAUAUGGACAUGGGUUACAUGCUUCUCUACUCUUAGAAGUCUUUCGUUUCAAAUCUCGGGACGAGAUUCUUUUAAGGGGGGAGGGGUGUAACACCCUUGGUGUUUAUAUUCCGCUCGACAACGAGUAUGGAUUUAAGCACGUAAUAUCAGUGGAUAAAACAAAUGUUAAAUUUUAAUUAUUCUCUCUAUCGCGAUUUUAUAUCGCAUCUAUUUCGUCUGUCGCGAGUGCGACAUCGUUUUUUUUAUUUUUAUCUAUCCGGGCUCGUCCUAAAUUUUCGUGCUGUUCGGAACAUAGUUGUUCCAAAAAUCGGUGCGUCCGGUGAUUAUUUAAAAUUCAUCGCUCGCGUGAAUACGAAUUCGGAAGUCCGAUCCACUCGGAUGAUUUUACCUCGAACAGAUUAAGUAGAACUCGACGACUAAGUUUUCGAUGCAAAUAAUUAUGUCCCCACUCGUCAACUGAGAAGUCGCGUCCAAGGAAUUAUAAUUGAGAUCCGAUUCUCCGCGUAAAUUAUCUGUGGCCGUGGAAACGGGUGUCGAGACCACGGAUAAAAGUUUCCGGUUUUGAAUUAAAUCCAAUCUAGCGCAGUCUAAGAUAUCAAAGAUAAUGACGUGGUCUGGUACUAGUUUAAAUAAAGUUAAUCGAUUUAGACGAACUGGAAAGGUCAACUAAGUAUUUCGCUCUGUUCGAGCGAUCCCUACGAAUUUGGUAGAAACACUACUAGGGGCGGGCUAUUUAAAUAAACCAAACUCGAACUAACCAAAACCAGAACAAUGGUUAGCCGAUUCGCUUUCCUAUUUAAAAAUCCGAGAAAAUAAUCUAUUAUUCGAUAGCGCUUUAAAUUGGCGAUAGCGCUUUAAAUUGGCCCGUUUACUCCUUAUUUUAAAUCCAAAUCCCAAUAUUCAGAACAGAUGAGGUUUAUCUGUUUUAAACCAAAUUUGACAUAGUUUGAAUUAUCCAAGCCGAUCUUGUUUGGUUGGGUUCGUGUGUUCCUCGCCUAUAUCCAAAUCUUCAGAUAUAAAUAACAGAUAACUUUUAUCUGGGUUCAACUAAAUUAAUGGUGUCUCAAGUAGUAUAUUUGUUUUAGUCCGGUUCAUUUAUAUCUCACCCAAACUCUAAUUCUAGCACCAGUAUUUCUUAAGAAAGAAAGAAGAAAUAUCCUAUUUUUCUAAUAGCCCUCGACCUUGGAAAACUCUUGAAGACACGCUCAACCUUAUGUCCUUGCCCAGUUUCUGGACGCAUGCGAGGGACCAAAUUCUUUUCUUCUACGCAUGCCAGAGACCAAAUUCUUUUCUUCUACGCGAGCAUAAGCCUCUUCUUUGUAUUGUCCCGCCGCCCUCCAUCAGGAUAUUUUCUCAGGCCCUUGUCUGUAUAUAACGCUCAUCGGCCUGAUCCAUUUUCUGAAAAAAAUCUCAUUCUCUUUCUUAUCCAUCCAUCGCUCAGCAGGAGCUUAUUUCUUACACGUCUCCAGCGUUCACUCAGGCGUCUUAGCAUUCUUUUCUCUGCUCCUCUCGGCACUCGUCUCAGCACUUCUUCCUCAGGCCGCAACCCUUCUCUGCCAUUUGUGCUUGGCUCCCAGAAGCUGCCGAGCUAGACUCCUCGUCGUGCGCUGUUGUGCUGCUCCAUGUCCGACCGUUCGUCUCUAGCUCGCCAUGGCUGCUCCAGAUCCUGCUCGCGAGUUUCCCAGCGCCGUCAGCUUGCCGGCAUCCAGCUCGCCUGUAUCAUGGCCGUCGCGCCGUCUUUACUCGUUGGCCGUGCGUUGCCGCGCACACGCGCCCGACACCCCGGUUCCUCUGUACGCCUUGGUUGCGCGCGCCGAACUGCGUCCUUCGCAGCUCGCUGGCUUUAGCUGCAGGACACCACCAGCCGUGCCUUCGUAUCCUGUGUCCUCGACUCGUCCACAGUGUCACUCGCGAGGUGCUCGAGGUAAUGGCAGAAUUGAAAAUCGUAGCUGUGCUCAUGGCCUUCAAGACAUAUUAAGUUAUUGGUACGAUAAUUGAUCGUGUGAUGCGGAAGACGAGCCAAGUCGACCCCAAGCGCGGACUACUCCGCAUGGAGAUGCUGAUAAACGAACCUACCUGAUCAAGUGCUAGGACAAGGAUGAUCGUCAAGUGGACGUCACCUAACAACACUAACGUAGUGUUUAUUCCAGGCAAGCCCCGGUGCAUGCAACCCCUUCCUUGUGUUUUUAAAUAAUUUUUGCACACUUUAAGUCUAGUGAAAUGUGCAUUAGGUUUAUAGGAGUUGCUUGGAAACCCUUUGAUGCAUUGCCUUCCUUGAAAUCCAUACCUUUAUAGAUACUUCUGGUGAAGUAUCAAAAUAUGAUUUACAAAAAUGCUUAGCCCU